AGUGAACGCUGGCGGUAGGCCUAACACAUGCAAGUCGAACGGCAGCACAGUAAGAGCUUGCUCUUACGGGUGGCGAGUGGCGGACGGGUGAGGAAUACAUCGGACUCUACUUUUUCGUGGGGGAUAACGUAGGGAAACUUACGCUAAUACCGCAUACGACCUACGGUUGAAAGCGGUGGAUCUUCGGACCUUGCGCGAUUGAAUGAGCCGAUGUCGGAUUAGCUAGUUGGCGGGGUAAAGGCCCACCAAGUCGACGAUCCGUAGCUGGUCUGAGAGGAUGAUCAGCCACACUGGAACUGAGACACGGUCCAGACUCCUACGGGAGGCAGCAGUGGGGAAUAUUGGACAAUGGGCGCAAGCCUGAUCCAGCCAUACCGCGUGGGUGAAGAAGGCCUUCGGGUUGUAAAGCCCUUUUGUUGGGAAAGAAAAGCAGCAGGUUAAUACCCCGCUGUUCUGACGGUACCCAAAGAAUAAGCACCGGCUAACUUCGUG
rnacentral:rRNA from 1 species